rnacentral:rRNA from 1 species
UACGUAGGGUGCAAGCGUUGUCCGGAAUUAUUGGGCGUAAAGAGCUCGUAGGCGGUUCGUCGCGUCGGCUGUGAAAACCUGAGGCUCAACCUCAGGCCUGCAGUCGAUACGGGCGGACUUGAGUACUGCAGGGGAGACUGGAAUUCCUGGUGUAGCGGUGAAAUGCGCAGAUAUCAGGAGGAACACCGGUGGCGAAGGCGGUUCUCUGGACAGUUCCUGACGCUGAGGCACGAAGGUCAGGGGAGCAAACGGG